AAAAUUUUUGGGUUUACAGGUAAUGUUAUUUUAUUAGAGAAAUUAUAGUCGAAAAGAUGAAAUAGAAAAAUGCUUUUUAUUUUUUAUUUUUUUUAAGAUGGAACCCAAAUAGGGGCUUAAUGUAAGUACGAAAGCGAAAGUUAAGGAUUGUUUUAUUUGAUAUAGAGUUGUUUAAUCAAACACUAAUUUAAACCAUAGAUUACAUAUGUCAAGACUGGGACAUGAAUGAAACAGUAAGAAAGCUUUUAAUUAGGAAAGAUUUUCACUAUCAAGUUAGGACACGAGAGAAAAUAUUGAACAAAUGUUUAGUUUUACUAAAAAUUAGAUUUCAGUAAAUUUUGAUAAAAAGUUGAUGAAAUGUAUGAUUGAAAAUUUGAUAAAAAGUUAUGAAUCACAUAAAAUUUGUGGUUAAAACUAAUUGUUGACUUUAUUUUAAAUUUUUAUCAACUUUCUAACUAAACAAAAUACGGACUAAACCCUCACUUGUGGAAAUUCUCAAUUGAUAGCUAUUGACUAGAGAAAAUUGCAAUGGAGUUCUAAUUUUUCAAAAAGUGUAAUUUCAAAUGUUUAGUAAAUUAUGCAAUACAAAAACUUUUGGAUGAUUAUCGUCCAAAAUUUUGUUAAUUUAGUGUGUAAAUCGCAGUUGCACACCUUUAACAAGGAAAAACGUCUCACCAAAUUUCCAUAUAUAUAGCCAACCACCAAAAUCUAUAUGAUCAUACCCCUAACUGAACCAAAUUGUUGAUUGCGAGUAUUCCCAAAUUACAUCGUCGGUUGCCAUUCCAAAUUUAGCAAACGAUUUUCUAAUUUAGCCUACAACUACUUCUCGAAAACCCAUUUUCCAAAAUUACAUAUUGACAUGUCACCAUGUUAUAUUACUAAUAAUCCAUUGGAUAAAUGUUGUUACACUUCAUCCAAUGAGACUCUAAAAAUGAUCACAUGACAACCAUAUAAUAAGCGAACACAGGCUCGCACUUCACAUCAUUUUGCCUAUCUGGCAAUCCCAUCAAAUCCCAUGUAGAGGUUGACCUUUCAUGGACGACGCUAGGCAAAGAGCUAUGGCGCCAAUUCGAGGUGAAUGGCCUUUAAGAGUAUGGAGCAUGCUUUCCGAAAAAUCUAUACACAAAAUCUUCUUUGAUUAAUUGAUGUUUUCUCUCUACAGUAGUCACUUUAUUAAAUCAACUUAUAAAGUCUAUUCCUCACAUGUCAGGGCUAGGUAAUAGGGUGGCUAACUAUUAGAAAAAUUAAAUGCACACAAGCCUAGGAUUAAAAGAAUUAUGCCUAUAACAAGGCAUCUUGGCAUUAAGAUGAGAUCACAUGUCUCUUAUCCAAAGGUUAUCAUUUCUCACAUUCUACUAUAAAACCUACACUUGAUGCCAUUUGAAGAUAUGCAAUUAUACACACUAAUUGCAACAUUCAUCUCUCUCUCUCUCAUUUAUUUUACCCUAUAAAUCAAUUCUACCCAAAUCCUCAGUAUGUGAACACCUUUUUAGGUCACAUCUAAGUACGUUCCACAUGUAGCUACAUUCCCCACCUUCGAAGAAGGCCACCGCUUGCUAAUGUGCUCGACAUAUAUGUACAUACUGCUUUACUUUCUAUACAAUCCUUCAUUUGCUCAACUUCAUCACCGAAAUAUAUAUCUCCGUCGUCACUGUGUUAAAUUAGGCCCAACCAAUAUCCCUUAAAGAAAAGUUCCAGAUUAUUCUUUAUUUUCAAGAUUCAGGUUUUCUUUUUACACUCUCUCCUCAAGCCAGCUGUCUCUAUCUUCAAUUCCGAGAAUGGUGCUCCCAUUGUUAUAUUAUUGUUACAUUCAAUAAUCACAUCUAGCCGUUCCAUAAUCUUUGAAAUCACGCAUGAGAUGUAAUCAAUGAAAUCAAAUUCAAAUAAAAAAGUUUUCAUAUUUCAUUUUGCUACCCACAUUUGCUCUUAUUUUUCAAAGCUCGACUUCUCAACUUGGAAAAUGGUUAUUACAUGAUCAAUAAAGCUACUUGUACAAAAUUAGAUUACAAAAGUUGAGUUACAAAGUAUGUUGGCAAAAUUCAUGUCAUUGAUUUCAAAUUAUUUAAAAAUCUAUUUUUGAAAUAAUUGGUGUGAAUGUGAUUUUGUUAUCCAACUUUGUCAACCCCCUUUGUAAGUGUAGCAUAACUCUUACACGAUAUCACUACCCAAUCUUGUCGCUUCAUCUUGGGCUGUGAAUAAAAAGUCCGAAAUCUUUUUCAUCUCCCUCGAUAGUUGACGACUAAGCUUGACAAUGGCUUUUCAACAAUCACAAUCCAACAAUCAGCUCCUCCUUGGUUGAAUUCAUUGGGAAAUAUAACCAAACAGAGAUAAAAUAGAACGAAGAGGGGUUUAAAAAAUGAGAAAAAUGCAGAAGAAUUGAGAGAGACACGAAGAAGAAUUAAUCCACUAUCAACUGAAAAUCUAGCAAAAUAAUACCCUCAUCUCCAACAAGCACACGGGCUGAUAUAGCCUUCCACCAACAGAUUAAAGUCGCACAUUUCACAACUAAUAGAUAAAAUGUUUUUAAUUUCCUCUUACAAUUAAUUUAAUAAAAUUAAAGCAAAACGGUGCCAUCUUCACUUGAAUAAAAUGCUAUUCUUGAUAGAUUUUAAAUCCAGAUUUCCAGAUUGAAAGGAACUAAUAAUCCAAUUUUAAUUCUUUCAUAAAUUUAUCCACGUUGAAUCAAAGAGAACAAAAUGAAAGCGAAAGUGUACCUUGAUCCAUAAUUAUAAUUGAUUUUGAACGGGUUACAAUUUUCCAAUUGAUUCAUGAUUUUCCUUUCGAAUUCUAAUUCUUGAAAAAAAAUUCUCUAUUGAUGGGGAUGUAGAGGUUAUGAGAAAAUCACGUCAAUUGGGGACCAUGACCCAUGAUAAAUAAUUGCUAGGCAGUUAUCAUCUUUUAUUUGUUUUAAAUUGGCCCAUCACCAAUUUAAAACAACUACCCGACCUCUACACUUCAAUCCCAUAAUAAUUGAUACCCAUUAGUCCAAAAUUGAAUUCAUUGGAUCACUUUAAUGGACUAAAACUACAAGAUAGCAACGCACACUUUAAUCAUAUACAUGUGUGGCCCCAAUAAUUAAAUUUUUUUUUCCAACAAUUCUUUCCUAAUUCAAAUUUCAGUUAAAUCCAUUGCCUCUUCCUUCUUCUUUUCCUAUACUACUGUUCUUCCUUCUCCGACUGGUUCUUCUUCCUUUUCUUCCCUAGUCUCACCUUGAUCUUGUCCCCAAGAUCUAUAAAUAAGAUGGUGAAUUUUGACUUAAUCUGCGUCCUUCCAUGUCUCAUAUUUCGGAAGCCUAUCUGACUAGUGAAUACGCCACUGCACUGUUG
rnacentral:lncRNA from 1 species